AGCAUCGAAAUGGUACAGGCGUGAGCUUCAUCACCAUGAGUCAAGCCCAAUGGAAGGAUCACUUCACUGUGCUUUGUCGCAGCUCAAACUAUCUGGGAUCUGCUUCUCAGCGAUUUAUUUUCUACAGCCUUCCAACAUCUGCAGAAAGUCAAGGUUUGUCUCUGAACUGAGUAUAACUUAUUGGUAAGCGGCACAUUUCACCAUUUGUUCUCGUAAUUACUAAGUAUUAACAAGAAAGCUUUAUGAAUGGGUAAGUGGUGAACAUAAAUUCCUCUUGAAAGCUUUAAUAUGUCCUGAUUUAACAAUUUACAAAAUGAAUAAUUAAUAAGUGAUGUCCGAAUUUAUUCAAAUAAUAAUCUCGUCUGAAUAAGAGCUUGAACCAUAAUCCCUUAUUGUCCUUUGUAUUUUUCAGUGAUUUUGCUAGUCUUCAUCGCCACCAUUGUCGUCUUCCUGGUGCUAGUAUGUGCUCUACUCUUUGUUAUCAGGGCUCAGAGGACUCAACACAACCUGCUUAAGAGUCAGGGGUCAGGUAACGCUAGCACAGUUGCUAUGAGCCAACAUCUACCAAGUGGAAAAGGAGAUGAGGAACCCAACAAAACAAAUGAGGGCAUUUAUGCUAACACCACUGA